rnacentral:rRNA from 1 species
AUUGAACGCUGGCGGCAGGCUUAACACAUGCAAGUCGAACGAGCGGCGGACGGGUGAGUAAUGUCUGGGAAACUGCCUGAUGGCGGGGGAUAACUACUGGAAACGGUAGCUAAUACCGCAUACCAUCGGAUGUGCCCCGAUGGGAUUAGCUAGUAGGUGGGGUAAUGGCUCACCUAGGCGACGAUCCCUAGCUGGUCUGAGAGGAUGACCAGCCACACUGGAACUGAUACACGGUCCAGACUCCUACGGGAGGCAGCAGUGGGGAAUAUUGGACAAUGGGGGAAAGCCUGAUGCAGCCAUGCCGCGUGUGUGAAGAAGGCCUUCGGGUUGUAAAGCACUUUCAGCUAGGAGGCGUUACUCGCAGAAGAAGCACCGGCUAACUCCGUGCCAGCAGCCGCGGUAAUAC